UGAGGAAUAUUGGUCAAUGGGCGGGAGCCUGAACCAGCCAAGCCGCGUGAGGGAAGAAGGCCCUAUGGGUCGUAAACCUCUUUUGUCAGGGAACAAAAGCGAGUAUGUAUACUGGUCUGAGUGUACCUGAAGAAAAAGCAUCGGCUAACUCCGUGCCAGCAGCCGCGGUAAUACGGAGGAUGCGAGCGUUAUCCGGAUUUAUUGGGUUUAAAGGGUGCGUAGGCGGCGGUGCAAGUCAGCGGUAAAAGCCCGGGGGCUCAACCCCGGCGAGCCGUUGAAACUGCAGUGCUAGAGAAGGCGAGAGGUACGCGGAAUGCGCAGUGUAGCGGUGAAAUGCCUAGAUAUUGCGCAGAACUCCGAUUGCGAAGGCAGCGUACUGGCGCCUGACUGACGCUGAGGCACGAAAGCGUGGGGAUCGAACAGGAUUAGAUACC
rnacentral:rRNA from 1 species